UCCUUCGGGUGCCCGCGUUCCUCGGCCUUCCUGGGCGUCCCGCGUGCGCAGGCGGUUUUGUAAGCCAGAUGUGAAAGCCCCGGGCUCCACCUGGGAACUGCGUUUGGAACUACAAGACUAGAGUGUGUCAGAGGGGGGUGGAAUUCCGCGUGUAGCAGUGAACUGCGUAGAGAUGCGGAGGAACACCGAUGGCGAAGGCAGCCCCCUGGGAUAACACUGACGCUCAUGCACGAAAGCGUGGGGAGCAAACAGG
rnacentral:rRNA from 1 species